AGAGUUUGAUCCUGGCUCAGAGUGAACGCUGGCGGUAGGCCUAACACAUGCAAGUCGAACGGCAGCACAGUAAGAGCUUGCUCUUAUGGGUGGCGAGUGGCGGACGGGUGAGGAAUACAUCGGAAUCUACUUUUUCGUGGGGGAUAACGUAGGGAAACUUACGCUAAUACCGCAUACGACCUACGGGUGAAAGCAGGGGAUCUUCGGACCUUGCGCGAUUGAAUGAGCCGAUGUCGGAUUAGCUAGUUGGCGGGGUAAAGGCCCACCAAGGCGACGAUCCGUAGCUGGUCUGAGAGGAUGAUCAGCCACACUGGAACUGAGACACGGUCCAGACUCCUACGGGAGGCAGCAGUGGGGAAUAUUGGACAAUGGGCGCAAGCCUGAUCCAGCCAUACCGCGUGGGUGAAGAAGGCCUUCGGGUUGUAAAGCCCUUUUGUUGGGAAAGAAAUCCAGCUGG
rnacentral:rRNA from 1 species